UACGGGGGGGGCAAGCGUUGUUCGGAAUUACUGGGCGUAAAGGGCUCGUAGGCGGCCAACUAAGUCGGAUGUGAAAUCCCCAGGCUCAACCUGGGAACUGCGUCUGAUACUGGAUGGCUUGAAUCCGGGAGAGGGAUGCAGAAUUCCAGGUGUAGCGGUGAAAUGCGUAGAUAUCUGGAGGAAUACCGGUGGCGAAGGCGGCAUCCUGGACCGGCAUUGACGCUGAGGAGCGAAAGCCAGGGGAGCAAACGGG
rnacentral:rRNA from 1 species